UACGGAGGGGGCUAGCGUUGUCCGAAGUUACUGGGCGUAAAGCGCGCGUAGGCGGGUUGGUAAGUCCGCUGUGAAAGCCCGGAGCUCAACUCCGGAGGGUCGGUGGAUACUGCCAGUCUUGAAGGUGCUAGGGGGAGAUGGAAUUACCGGUGUAGCGGUGAAAUGCGUAGAUAUCGGUAGGAACACCAGUGGCGAAGGCGGUCUCCUGGGGCAUUCUUGGCGCUGAGGCGCGAAAGCUGGGGGAGCGAACGGG
rnacentral:rRNA from 1 species